rnacentral:rRNA from 1 species
UACGAAGGGGGCUAGCGUUGCUCGGAAUCACUGGGCGUAAAGCGCACGUCGGCGGAUCUUUAAGUCAGGGGUGAAAUCCUGGAGCUCAACUCCAGAACUGCCUUUGAUACUGGGGAUCUCGAGUCCGGAAGAGGUGAGUGGAACUCCGAGUGUAGAGGUGAAAUUCGUAGAUAUUCGCAAGAACACCAGUGGCGAAGGCGGCUCACUAGCCCGAUACUGACGCUGAGGCACGAAAGCGUGGGGAGCAAACAGG